rnacentral:rRNA from 1 species
CCCACUAUGCUUAGCCCUAAACAUCGAUUAUUAAUUACACCCAAUAUCCGCCCGGGAAUUACGAGCAUCAGUUUAAAACCCAAAGGACUUGGCGGUGCUUAACAUCCACCUAGAGGAGCCUGUUCUAGAACCGAUAACCCCCGUUCAACCUCACCCUCCCUUGCUUUUCCCGCCUAUAUACCACCGUCGUCAGCUUACCCUGUGAAGGCCUAAUAGUAAGCAGAAUUGGCAUAGCCCAAAACGUCAGGUCGAGGUGUAGUGCAUGAGAGGGGAAGAAAUGGGCUACAUUCGCUAGUAGUAGCGAAUACGAAUGUUGCAUUGAAAUAUGCGACUGAAGGAGGAUUUAGCAGUAAGCAGAAAGCAGAGCGUCCCGCUGAAACUGGCCCUAAAGCGCGCACACACCGCCCGUCACCCUCCCCGAGCCCUAAACUCACUUAACUAAAACCCUAUAAUUGCGAAGGGGAGGAAAGUCGUAACAUGGUAAGUGUACUGGAARGGUGCAA